rnacentral:rRNA from 1 species
GACCUCGGAUCAGGUAGGGAUACCCGCUGAACUUAAGCAUAUCAAUAAGCGGAGGAAAAGAAACCAACAGGGAUUGCCUCAGUAACGGCGAGUGAAGCGGCAAGAGCUCAAAUUUGAAAGCUGGCUCCUUCGGGGUCCGCAUUGUAAUUUGCAGAGGAUGCUUCGGGAGCGGCCCCCAUCUAAGUGCCCUGGAACGGGCCGUCAUAGAGGGUGAAAAUCCCGUCUGGGAUGGGGUGUCCGCGCCCGUGUGAAGCUCCUUCGACGAGUCGAGUUGUUUGGGAAUGCAGCUCUAAAUGGGUGGGUAAAUUUCAUCUAA